UCAGAGGCAACAAAUUUCAAAAUAAUAGCAUUCAUUUAGGGUUUCAAAAAACCUCUCAUAUCACCUUCAUUUUUAGUUGAUUUGGAAUUAAAGCUCAGCGUGGCUAGGGUUUCUGUGAAGUGCGUUCCUUGCUAGUUUAACUGCUUACAAAUUAAAGUGUGUGUGAUAUCAGACAAAAAGAGAGGAGCCAAUGUUUUCUUUAAAUAUUUUGCAUUUUUAAAACUAGCAUUUCUCCUCUCGAUUUGCACUCAGUUUAUUGUUUAGUGGGCCAAUUGAUCCAGUUAUAAAUUCAUGAAACAGAAACUAAAUUUUUAUUCUUAUGUUUUGAAAAAAUUGCUCUUUUUUCCUUUGUUGCUUCCCUAUUCCAGGUUCUCAUGAGGUUGGUUUGUUCAAUCUUCUCACUUUGUGAGUUGGAUCUUGGUCAUUUUUCUGUCUUAAAUCUUAGUUACACACCCACACCACACACCACCCAAAGUUAAUAGCUGUCUUAUGUUUUGUGGAAAGGAGUUGAGAUCGUAAGAUAUCAUCAUUAAUUUGACACUGGUCAAGAACCUUUGUGUGUUUUUGUGUGUGUGUGAUUUUGCAACUUUGAGUAGUGUAAGAUUUCAUGGAAAUAGUGAGAUGGUGGAGAGACUACUUGAGAUCUGGAGAAUAUAUGUGGCACAGUAAUAGAAUAGCAAGAUUGUCCUAUGUGAAAAGUUGUUUCUUUAACAUUUAUAGAUCCUCUUGUGGGUCUCUUCUGUCUUUCUAGCUUAUAGUUUCAAUAUGACGAAAGCAUGAGUUUUACGGCAUACAUAAUAUUCUUUGAAGUUCCUAUCCUG
rnacentral:lncRNA from 1 species